AGUGAACGCUGGCGGCGUGCUUAACACAUGCAAGUCGAACGAGAACGGGUUAUAGCUUGCUAUAAUUGUCAGCUAAGUGGCGCACGGGUGAGUAAUGUAUAGGUAAUAUGCCUCUUACUAAGGGAUAACAAAUGGAAACGUUUGCUAAUACCUUAUACUCCUUAUUAACAUAAGUUAAUAAGGGAAAGAUUUAUUGGUAAGAGAUUAGCCUGUAUUGUAUCAGUUAGUUGGUGGGGUAAUGGCUUACCAAGACUAUGACACAUAACUGGUUUGAGAGGAUGAUCAGUGACGCUGGAACUGAGACACGGUCCAGACUCCUACGGGAGGCAGCAGUGGGGAAUAUUGCACAAUGGACGAAAGUCUGAUGCAGCAACGCCGCGUGGAGGAUGACACAUUUCGGUGCGUAAACUCCUUUUAUAUGAGAAGAUAAUGACGGUAUUAUAUGAAUAAGCACCGGCUAACUCCGUGCCAGCAGCCGCGGUAA
rnacentral:rRNA from 1 species